rnacentral:rRNA from 1 species
GGAGAAUGUUAUCACGGGAGACACACGGCGGGGGCUAACGUCCGACGUGAAGAGGGAAACAACCCCAGCCGCCAGCUAAGGUCCCAAAGUCAUGGGUAAGGGGGGAACCAUGUGGGCAGGCCCAGACAGCCAGGAUGUUGGCUUAGAAGCAGCCAUCAUUUAAAGAAAGCGUAAUAGCUCACUGGUCGAGUCGGCCUGCGCGGAAGAUGUAACGGGGCUAAACCAUGCACCGAAGCUGCGGCAGCGAACGUAUCACUUAAAGCGAUUCAGCGGGUUACGAUUGACGGAGCGAAGCGACGUCAAAGCGUAUACAAAGUCGAGUCGGUUUAAGGAUACGUUCGUUGGGUAGGGGAGCGUUCUGUAAGCCUGUGAAGGUGUGUCGUGAGGCAUGCUGGAGGUAUCAGAAGUGCGAAUGCUGACAUAAGUAACGAUAAAGCGGGUGAAAAGCCCGCUCGCCGGAAGACCAAGGGUUCCUGUCCAACGUUAAUCGGGGCAGGGUGAGUCGACCCCUAAGGCGAGGCCGAAAGGCGUAGUCGAUGGGAAACGGGUUAAUAUUCCCGUACUUGGUGUUACUGCGAAGGGGGGACGGAGAAGGCUAUGUUGGCCGGGCGACGGUUGUCCCGGUUUAAGCGUGUAGGCGUGUGUUCCAGGUAAAUCCGGUUCACUUUAACACUGAGGCGUGAUGACGAGGCACUACGGUGCUGAAGCAACAAAUGCCCUGCUUCCAGUAAAAGCCUCUAAGCAUCAGGUAACAUCAAAUCGUAC